GAUAAACGCUAGCGGCAGGCUUAACACAUGCAAGUCGAGGGGCAGCAUAGAUUGUAGCAAUACAAUUGGUGGCGACCGGCGCACGGGUGCGUAACGCGUAUGCAACCUACCCGUCACAGGGGGAUAAUCCGGAGAAAUCUGGUCUAAUACCCCAUAACAUAUGGAUCGGCAUCGGUUCAUGUUGAAAUUUUCGGAGGUGACGGAUGGGCAUGCGUAGCAUUAGCUUGUUGGUGAGGUAACGGCUCACCAAGGCGACGAUGCUUAGGGGGGCUGAGAGGUUUUCCCCCCACACUGGUAAUGAGACACGGACCAGACUCCUACGGGAGGCAGCAGUGAGGAGUAUUGGUCAAUGGGCGCAAGCCUGAACCAGCCAUGCCGCGUGCAGGAUGACGGCUCUAUGAGUUGUAAACUGCUUUUGUACGAGGGUAAAGUGGGUUACGUGUAACCUUUUGAAAGUAUCGUACGAAUAAGGAUCGGCUAACUCCGUGCCAGCCGCCGCCGUAA
rnacentral:rRNA from 1 species